UUUUUUACUCUUACGGGAGGCAGCAGUGGGGAAUAUUGCACAAUGGGGGAAACCCUGAUGCAGCCAUGCCGCGUGUGUGAAGAAGGCCUUCGGGUUGUAAAGCACUUUUCAGCGAGGAGGAAAGGGUGUAAGUUAAUACCUUACAUCUGUGACGUUACUCGCAGAAGAAGCACCGGCUAACUCCGUGCCAGCAGCCGCGGUAAUACGGAGGGUGCGAGCGUUAAUCGGAAUUACUGGGCGUAAAGCGUGCGCAGGCGGUUUGUUAAGCGAGAUGUGAAAGCCCCGGGCUCAACCUGGGAACCGCAUUUCGAACUGGCAAACUAGAAGUCUUGUAGAGGGGGGUAGAAUUCCAGGUGUAGCGGUGAAAUGCGUAGAGAUCUGGAGGAAUACCGGUGGCGAAGGCGGCCCCCUGGACAAAGACUGACGCUCAGGCACGAAAGCGUGGGGAGCAAACAGGAUUAGAUACCCUGGUAGUCCACGCCGUAAACGAUGUCUACUCGGAGUUUGGUGUCUUGAACACUGGGCUCUCAAGCUAACGCAUUAAGUAGACCGCCUGGGGAGUACGGCCGCAAGGUUAAAACUCAAAUGAAUUGACGGGGGCCCGCACAAGCGGUGGAGCAUGUGGUUUAAUUCGAUGCAACGCGAAGAACCUUACCUACUCUUGACAUCCACAGAAUCUGGUAGAGAUACCUCAGUGCCUUCGGGAACUGUGAGACAGGUGCUGCAUGG
rnacentral:rRNA from 1 species